rnacentral:rRNA from 1 species
UCAGGAUGAACGCUGGCGGCGUGCCUAAUACAUGCAAGUCGAGCGAAUGGAUUGAGAGCUUGCUCUCAAGAAGUUAGCGGCGGACGGGUGAGUAACACGUGGGUAACCUGCCCAUAAGACUGGGAUAACUCCGGGAAACCGGGGCUAAUACCGGAUAAUAUUUUGAACUGCAUGGUUCGAAAUUGAAAGGCGGCUUCGGCUGUCACUUAUGGAUGGACCCGCGUCGCAUUAGCUAGUUGGUGAGGUAACGGCUCACCAAGGCAACGAUGCGUAGCCGACCUGAGAGGGUGAUCGGCCACNCUGGGACUGAGACACGGCCCAGACUCCUACGGGAGGCAGCAGUAGGGAAUCUUCCGCAAUGGACGAAAGUCUGACGGAGCAACGCCGCGUGAGUGAUGAAGGCUUUCGGGUCGUAAAACUCUGUUGUUAGGGAAGAACAAGUGCUAGUUGAAUAAGCUGGCACCUGACGGUA